GAUGAACGCUGGCGGCGUGCCUAAUACAUGCAAGUCGAGCGAACAGACGAGGAGCUUGCUCCUCUGACGUUAGCGGCGGACGGGUGAGUAACACGUGGAUAACCUACCUAUAAGACUGGGAUAACUUCGGGAAACCGGAGCUAAUACCGGAUAAUAUAUUGAACCGCAUGGUUCAAUAGUGAAAGACGGUUUUGCUGUCACUUAUAGAGGGAUCCGCGCCGCAGUAGCUAGUUGGUAAGGUAAAGGCUUACCAAGGCAACGAUGCUUAGCCGACCUGAGAGUGUUGUUGUCCACACUAGAUCUGAUGCUCGGUCCAGACUUCUUGGGGAGGCAUCAGUCGGUAAUCUUCCACACGGGGCGGCUGCUUGUCGUAGCACCGCCGCGUGUGUGAUGAAGCCCUUCGGAUUGUAAAACUCUGUUAUGUGUGUAUACCAACUUUCUAAGUAUCUAUGCACGUCUUUACGUUACCUUUUCAGAACGCCACGGCUACCCACGUG
rnacentral:rRNA from 1 species